UAGACAUGUCAAUCACAUUCACCCGCUGC
rnacentral:sRNA from 1 species